rnacentral:rRNA from 1 species
GUGGGGAAUAUUGGACAAUGGGCGCAAGCCUGAUCCAGCCAUACCGCGUGGGUGAAGAAGGCCUUCGGGUUGUAAAGCCCUUUUGUUGGGAAAGAAAUCCUGUCGGUUAAUACCUGGCGGGGAUGACGGUACCCAAAGAAUAAGCACCGGCUAACUUCGUGCCAGCAGCCGCGGUAAUACGAAGGGUGCAAGCGUUACUCGGAAUUACUGGGCGUAAAGCGUGCGUAGGUGGUGGUUUAAGUACGUUGUGAAAGCCCUGGGCUCAACCUGGGAAUUGCAGUGGAUACUGGAUCACUAGAGUGUGGUAGAGGGAUGCGGAAUUUCUGGUGUAGCAGUGAAAUGCGUAGAGAUCAGAAGGAACAUCCGUGGCGAAGGCGGCAUCCUGGGCCAACACUGACACUGAGGCACGAAAGCGUGGGGAGCAAACAGGAUUAGAUACCCCAGUAGUCC